GACGGCAAUCUACACACUGCCAGUUUAAUUUCAGAUGCGGACUGCAGGAAAGCCGAAAAGACGCUUCGUUUCCAAUCCACGAGUGGAAAACGACUUUCUCCCCAUGCAGAGGCCGCCUUCCCCGAAAGGGUUUCGACUCGCCACCCAUGCCUCUCGCAGUGCACACACACCGCAGGCAGGCCGUCCUCUCCGCUGCAUGUAAACAGGUUGGCCUCUACUACAUCUUUAUUUGAAUGCGAUUGUCACAAUCUCACCUGCGUAGACACACUAGCGAACCGGAGGGAAGCGAUCAAAAGUCGACGCAACUCACUAGCGUCGACGCACUCGUGAUUAUUAUGCGAGGAAUCAUUGAAGACACACGUAAUAUUUGUCUGUUAAUUGUGGGCGCAGCUUUUUGCGGGUGUGGAGACCUGCACAUGCAGGUGAGUUAGCGAAACCUGUUUCCUCAGCUUUCUUUCUGGGAGAGUAGGAAAGACUUUCUUCCGCGGACAUCCACGAACCUCUGUGCCCUCUGUAGACUCCUCCUCAUACCCGACGCGCAUCGCGGGGGUGUGGGGGGGGAGGGGAGGGAAGAGGAAGCGUGCGAGUGAGGCGACUCUAACUUUUUGCCUCCCAGAAAACAGUUUUUAAAUGCAGUGAAAACUUGAGAAGAGUCUUCCAGUGCGUUGGACGUCUGCAGAGAGACUUCCGACUGUCGCGCCAUGCUCAGACGACGCGGAGGUGAACAUACUCCCGCACACCAGACACUCAAAGCUUGACACGCACCAAGAAGAAAACGCCACACAGUCCAGUACGAGAAUGUGUGGCGAGUCUUCGUCGCGAAAGAGUCGAAAUCCCCCGCAAGGCUCUCUUCAGCAAAGGCCUUUUUUCAUGCUUCAGACCCCACAAAACCGACGCUGUCUGUCGCGAGAUCUGCAAACGCAAGUCGGCACAUGCAGAUGCCUCUCUGUUUUUCCCAAGCAAAUCCAGUUUUUUCGCGGCUUCUUGACGGUCCAGAAAAUCCGGAGACGGCGCUGUGCUCAGCGCGGUGGGUCGCGAAGCACAACGCCCGGGUGUGAGCACUUUGAGGCGUCGUGAGGCUUCCGCUGAAAGGCUCUGCGGGUCCUGGCGCCUCCUCUCAAUUUCACCGUUGACCCAGUCUCUCAAAGCCUUUUUCACAGGCUCUACUUCAAUAGUUUCACAUGCCUUCCACCUGCACUUAAACGGCUGCAGCAACCCU
rnacentral:lncRNA from 1 species